AGUGAACGCUGGCGGUAGGCCUAACACAUGCAAGUCGAACGGCAGCACAGUAAGAGCUUGCUCUUACGGGUGGCGAGUGGCGGACGGGUGAGGAAUACAUCGGAAUCUACUUUUUCGUGGGGGAUAACGUAGGGAAACUUACGCUAAUACCGCAUACGACCUACGGGGGAAAGCAGGGGAUCUUCGGACCUUGCGCGAUUGAAUGAGCCGAUGUCGGAUUAGCUAGUUGGCGGGGUAAAGGCCCACCAAGGCGACGAUCCGUAGCUGGUCUGAGAGGAUGAUCAGCCACACUGGAACUGAGCCACGGUCCAGACUCCUACGGGAGGCAGCAGUGGGGAAUAUUGGACAAUGGGCGCAAGCCUGAUCCAGCCAUACCGCGUGGGUGAAGAAGGCCUUCGGGUUGUAAAGCCCUUUUGUUGGGAAAGAAAAGCAGCAGGUUAAUACCCCGCUGUUCUGACGGUACCCAAAGAAUAAGCACCGGCUAACUUCGUG
rnacentral:rRNA from 1 species